rnacentral:misc_RNA from 1 species
GUUGAAAACGUAGCGAAAUGCGAUACUUGGUGUGAAUUGCAGAAUCCCGUGAACCAUCGAGUCUUUGAACGCAAGUUGCGCCCGAAGCCAUUAGGCCGAGGGCACGCCUGCCUGGGCGUCACACGUCGUUGCCCCCCCAUCUACUCCUUCGGGAUUGCGGGGGGCGGAUGAUGGCCUCUCGUGCGCCUCGUCGCGCGGUUGGCCUAAAUGCCAAGUCCUCGGCGACGCACGCCACGACAAUCGGUGGUUGCGAAACCUCGGUUGCCUGUCGUGUGCGGUCGUCGCGCAUCGAGGGCUCGAAAAAAUUGCCGGGCUUCGGCUCGACUUUCAACGCGACCCCAGGUCAGGCGGGGUUACCCGCUGAAUUUAAGCAUAUCAAUAAGCGGAGGA